GAGUUUGAUCGUGGCUCAGAACGAACGCUGGCGGCAUGCCUAACACAUGCAAGUCGACCGAGACCUUCGGGUCUAGUGGCGCACGGGUGCGUAACGCGUGGGAAUCUGCCCUUGGGUUCGGGAUAACAGUUGGAAACGACUGCUAAUACCGAAUGAUGACUUCGGUCCAAAGAUUUAUCGCCCAGGGAUGAGCCCGCGUCGGAUUAGCUAGUUGGUGAGGUAAAGGCUCACCAAGGCGACGAUCCGUAGCUGGUCUGAGAGGAUGAUCAGCCACACUGGGACUGAGACACGGCCCAGACUCCUACGGGAGGCAGCAGUGGGGAAUAUUGGACAAUGGGCGAAAGCCUGAUCCAGCAAUGCCGCGUGAGUGAUGAAGGCCUUAGGGUUGUAAAGCUCUUUUACCCGGGAUGAUAAUGACAGUACCGGGAGAAUAAGCCCCGGCUAACUCCGUGCCAGCCGCCGCCGU
rnacentral:rRNA from 1 species